rnacentral:rRNA from 1 species
GGGUAGCCGGCCUGAGAGGGUGACCGGCCACACUGGGACUGAGACACGGCCCAGACUCCUACGGGAGGCAGGCAGUGGGGAAUAUUGCACAAUGGGCGCAAGCCUGAUGCAGCGACGCCGCGUGAGGGAUGACGGACUUCGGGUUGUAAACCUCUUUCAGUAGGGAAGAAGCGAAAGUGACGGUACCUGCAGAAGAAGCGCCGGCUAACUACGUGCCAGCAGCCGCGGUAAUACGUAGGGCGCAAGCGUUAUCCGGAAUUAUUGGGCGUAAAGAGCUCGUAGGCGGUUUGUCGCGUCUGCUGUGAAAGACCGGGGCUCAACUCCGGUUCUGCAGUGGGUACGGGCAGACUAGAGUGCAGUAGGGGAGACUGGAAUUCCUGGUGUAGCGGUGAAAUGCGCAGAUAUCAGGAGGAACACCGAUGGCGAAGGCAGGUCUCUGGGCUGUAACUGACGCUGAGGAGCGAAAGCAUGGGGAGCGAACAGGAUUAGAUACCCUGGUAGUCCAUGCCGUAAACGUUGGGCACUAGGUGUGGGGGACAUUCCACGUUUUCCGCGCCGUAGCUAACGCAUUAAGUGCCCCGCCUGGGGAGUACGGCCGCAAGGCUAAAACUCAAAGGAAUUGACGGGGGCCCGCACAAGCGGCGGAGCAUGCGGAUUAAUUCGAUGCAACGCGAAGAACCCUUACCAAGGCUUGACAUGAACCGGGUAAUACCUGGAAACAGGUGCUCCCGCUUGCGGUCGGUUUACAGGUGGUUGCAUGGGUUGUCGUCAGCUCGUGUCGUGAGAUGUUGGGUUAAGUCCCGCAACGAGCGCAACCCUCGUUCUAUGUUGCCAGCGGUUCGGCCGGGGACUCAUAGGAGACUUGCCGGGGUCAACUCCGAGGAAGGUGGGGACGACGUCAAAUCAUCAUGCCCCUUAUGUCUUGGGCUUCACGCAUGCUACAAUGGCCGGUACAAAGGGUUGCGAUACUGUGAGGUGGAGCUAAUCCCAAAAAGCCGGUCUCAGUUCGGAUUGGGGUCUGCAACUCGACCCCAUGAAGUCGGAGUCGCUAGUAAUCGCAGAUCAGCAACGCUGCGGUGAAUACGUUCCCGGGCCUUGUACACACCGCC